UACGUAGGGACCAAGCGUUGUUCGGAUUUACUGGGCGUAAAGGGCGCGUAGGCGGCGCGGUAAGUCACUUGUGAAAUCUCUGAGCUUAACUCAGAACGGCCAAGUGAUACUGCAGUGCUAGAGUGUGGAAGGGGCAAUCGGAAUUCUUGGUGUAGCGGUGAAAUGCGUAGAGAUCGGAAGGAACACCAGUGGCGAAGGCGGCUACCUGGCCCAAUACUGACACUGAGGCACGAAAGCGUGGGGAGCAAACAGG
rnacentral:rRNA from 1 species